rnacentral:rRNA from 2 species
CCAAUAGCGUAUAUUAAAGUUGUUGCAGUUAAAAAGCUCGUAGUUGAAUUUUGGAUUCUGCCAGUUGGUCCAUCUUUUGAUGAGUACUGAUUGUGUGGGGUCUAUCCGCCUGGUGAUACGUAAUGUACUUUAUUGUAUGUUACGGGUAGUCAGGACCUUUACCUUGAAAAAAUUAGAGUGUUUAAAGCAGGCUUAUGCCGGAAUACAUUAGCAUGGAAUAAUAGAAUAGGACGAUGUUGUUUUAUUUUGUUGGUUUCUAGGACAACCGUAAUGAUUAAUAGGGAUAGUUGGGGGCAUUAGUAUUCAAUUGUCAGAGGUGAAAUUCUUGGAUUUAUUGAAGACUAACUACUGCGAAAGCAUUUGCCAAGGAUGUUUUCAUUAAUCAAGAACGAAAGUUAGGGGAUCGAAGACGAUCAGAUACCGUCGUAGUCUUAACCAUAAACUAUGCCGACUAGGGAUCGGGCGAUGUUGUUUCCAUGACUCGCUCGGCACCUUAUG